rnacentral:rRNA from 1 species
AUUGAACGCUGGCGGCAGGCCUAACACAUGCAAGUCGAGCGGAUGAAGGGAGCUUGCUCCUGGAUUCAGCGGCGGACGGGUGAGUAAUGCCUAGGAAUCUGCCUGGUAGUGGGGGAUAACGUCCGGAAACGGGCGCUAAUACCGCAUACGUCCUGAGGGAGAAAGUGGGGGAUCUUCGGACCUCACGCUAUCAGAUGAGCCUAGGUCGGAUUAGCUAGUUGGUGGGGUAAAGGCCUACCAAGGCGACGAUCCGUAACUGGUCUGAGAGGAUGACCAGUCACACUGGAACUGAGACACGGUCCAGACUCCUACGGGAGGCAGCAGUGGGGAAUAUUGGACAAUGGGCGAAAGCCUGAUCCAGCCAUGCCGCGUGUGCGAAGAAGGUCUUCGGAUUGUAAAGCACUUUAAGUUGGGAGGAAGGGCAGUAAGUUAAUACCUUGCUGUUUUGACGUUACCAACAGAAUAAGCACCGGCUAACUUCGUG